rnacentral:tRNA from 1 species
GGAAAUAUGCCCGAAAAUAAGGAUUACUUUGAUAGAGUAAAACAUAGAGACUAAACCCUCUUAUUUCCU